AUGAACGCCACCAUCUUCCCGCACGCAGACAGCGCCGCCCGCCUCGCCUCGGGCAUGACCUCGCGUGCGCGCCGACCGGAACCCCACAGCAUCGCUGGGUGACCGGAGCGUCGUGCCGUCC
rnacentral:sRNA from 1 species